GACGAACGCUGGCGGCGUGCUUAACACAUGCAAGUCGAACGGUGAAGCGCCUUCCUUUUUGGUGGGUGUGGAUGAGUGGCGAACGGGUGAGUAACACGUGAGUAACCUGCCCCCUUCUUCUGGAUAACCGCAUGAAAGUGUGGCUAAUACGGGAUAUUCUGGGUCUGUCGCAUGAUGGGUCUGGGAAAGAUAUUGUUUCGGUGGGGGAUGGGCUCGCGGCCUAUCAGCUUGUUGGUGGGGUGAUGGCCUACCAAGGCGGUGACGGGUAGCCGGCCUGAGAGGGUGGACGGUCACACUGGGGCUGAGCCACGGACCAGCCUCCUGCGGGAGGCAGCAGUGGGGAAUAUUGCACAAUGGGCGCAAGCCUGAUGCAGCGACGCCGCGGGAGGGAUGGAGGCCUUCGGGUUGUGAACCUCUUUCGCCAGUGAAGCAGGCCUGCCUCGUUUGUGGGUGGGUUGACGGUAGCUGGAUAAGAAGCGCCGGCUAACUACGUG
rnacentral:rRNA from 1 species